GACGAACGCUGGCGGCGUGCCUAAUACAUGCAAGUAGAGCGCUGAAGAGAGGAGCUUACUCUUCUUGGAUGAGUUGCGAACGGGUGAGUAACGCGUAGGUAACCUGCCUUGUAGCGGGGGAUAACUAUUGGAAACGAUAGCUAAUACCGCAUAACAAUGGAUGACACAUGUCAUUUAUUUGAAAGGGGCAAUUGCUCCACUACAAGAUGGACCUGCGUUGUAUUAGCUAGUAGGUGAGGUAAUGGCUCACCUAGGCGACGAUACAUAGCCGACCUGAGAGGGUGAUCGGCCACACUGGGACUGAGACACGGCCCAGACUCCUACGGGAGGCAGCAGUAGGGAAUCUUCGGCAAUGGGGGCAACCCUGACCGAGCAACGCCGCGUGAGUGAAGAAGGUUUUCGGAUCGUAAAGCUCUGUUGUAAGUCAAGAACGGGUGUGAGAGUGGAAAGUUCACACUGUGACGGUAGCUUACCAGAAAGGGACGGCUAACUACGUG
rnacentral:rRNA from 1 species